rnacentral:rRNA from 1 species
CAAUAGCGUAUAUUAAAGUUGUUGCAGUUAAAAAGCUCGUAGUUGGAUUUGUGGCGUACGGUGUGUUCCGGGCACUUGUUGUCUGAGUAACCUGCUGUUGCCAUCCUUGGGUGGAACCUGUGUGGCAUUAGGUUGUCGUGCAGGGGAUGCCCAUCAUUUACUGUGAAAAAAUUAGAGUGUUCAAAGCAGGCUUAUGCCGUUGAAUAUAUUAGCAUGGAAUAAUAAGAUAGGACUUUUUUGCUAUUUUGUUGGUUUGCGCAAAGAGGUAAUGAAUAAUAGGGACAGUUGGGGGUAUUCGUAUUCCAUAGUCAGAGGUGAAAUUCUUGGAUUUUUGGAAGACGAACUACUGCGAAAGCAUUUACCAAGGAUGUUUUCAUUAA